GAGAGAACGGAUCUGUAGUUCUAGCCUCAAGGAGUUACUGUUUAGCAUUAGAGGCAAAAUGAAAAAGUACUCAUUGUUUCUGCCCAUGUUUGCAAAAAGGGGACAAGUUAUUGGUCCCCAAAGUAAAUGAGAUAAUGAGAAAAAACUUCAGGGAAAAAACUGAGAAUACUAUAGCUGAUUAACUUACUGUUUAGUUCUCUUAAAAAUAUCUACCUUCUUAUCAUUAUAAUUCUGGAAUGAAAAUCAGGAGGACUGCCUAGUACUGCCAAUUCUGACAGUGAUCUGGCUGGAGUGCAGUGGUGCACACGCCUCACACUGUGACACAGCGGGAGAGCCCAGAGCGACAGCUGUUGGAAUGACUGCACUCUUCCUGCUCAAGUCUGACCUUUCCAAGGGUCUCACUCUGUCACCCAGGUUGGAGUAAAGUGGUAUGAUCAUGGCUCACUGCAGCCUCGAACUCCUGGGCUCAAGCAAUCCUCCUGCCUCAGCCUCCUGAGUAGCUGGGACUACAGCCUUUGUCCUAUGUCUGGAGACUUCUUGGAAGCUGGAGCACACAAAUAGCUACAGCAAACUUGAGGAAUGGGCAUGAAUAGACUGGCUUCGGGGAACCUGCCAGCUUGGCCGUGUGGCCAAGGUAAUAGGCAAGCCAAGGCAGAGCUAGAGCUCAGAGCUGGAGGGGAAAUUAAAGCAGCAAAUGUAGAAACAUUAAGCCUGAAGAGGCGACGACGUUGAAUUCUAAAAUGCAGGCCAAAGCUCAGACUGCAAGCUGUCUGGCUGCUCCGGGUGUGCCCAGAAGUCAAAGUCCAGCAGGGGCAAAGGUGGAGGUGUGGUCCUGCACGUGGGGUGUUGGGGGGAUGUGGAAGAGGAGGUGCUUUAAGAUCCAGAGAUUCCAGCUGCCCUGGUGCACCCUUGGAAGAAUAAAAGGCUAGGAACUGGACAAGUCAGGCUCGAGUCCAAGCUGCCUGAGGAAUCGGGGAAAGAAUGGAGCUCAGAGUGGGAGGUCAGGGCAGUAUUUAAAAAUCCAGGAUAGCAGCAAAGCUGGCGGUGGCCCCUGACUCUGGUAAGGGCAGCCUGCAGCACCAUGCCAAGGGGGGCCUGACUGAUCAUGCCCUGCAUUUGCAAACAAGGAUUAGUAGGGUAUGAGUAGGAUUCUGCUGGUGCCUGGGAAGGCAGUGCCAUCUACAACUUUACAAAGUUUUAACAAAGGCCUGAAGGACACAACCUUCCCCAAAGUCCUGACGUCGCUGUUUGCUGGCAACAAAUAGAGUCAAAAGAAGAGAGGCACAGAAUGUGCCAGGGGUGUGCUGCGUACAGCCCCGAUGACCACAAGGCCUUCUUGGGUCAAGUUCUGCCAUCUCUGGUUAAGAUGGGCUCACCCUCUAGGACCCUGAUUGAGUCCUCGGACCACCAAGAGUGCCCCACCAAGAGCCUCCCUCUUCUGGUGACUCGUGCCUGCUUCCCGUGGAGAGCUCCAGAAGGGAGGAAACUGUGAGGAGGUGGAGAACGUGGCAGGGAUCCUAACUUUCUUACUGAAGGAAGUUCUUCACAAGUACCCAUCUGCCUUCAGGGAAGAAAACAUAACUCAUUUUGGUCUUUCAAAUUCAGUUCUCAAAACCAAAUCCUGUUGUCAGCAAUCUGUGUCCCAACGCCUUCUUCAGCAACAGCAUUUUCCCUGUGGAAUUAGUUUCCAAUGUUCUUUCUUAAAUAAACCACUGAAGAUUAAAAGGAA
rnacentral:lncRNA from 1 species